rnacentral:rRNA from 1 species
CCCUUAGAUGUUCUGGGCCGCACGCGCGCUACACUGACGAAGUCAGCGAGCAUGUCCUACGCCGACAGGUGCGGGGAAUCUUGUCAAACUUCGUCGUGAUGGGGAUUGAUUAUUGAAAUUCUUGAUCAUCAACGAGGAAUUCCUAGUAAGCGCAAGUCAGCAGCUUGCGUUGAUUACGUCCCUGCCCUUUGUACACACCGCCCGUCGCUACUACCGAUUGAAUGGUUUAGUUAGAUCUUCGGAUUGGCGCCACUGCGGCUCAGCAAUGGGCUCGGUGGAUGCCGAAAAGUUGAUCAAACUUGAUCAUUUAGAGGAAGUAAAAGUCGUAACA